GGCUGUGCUGGUGCCUGCUCAGGGCAUAGGGCAGGCUCCCCAGAGGUCUGUACGGUCUCCUGUGUUACAGUCUUUGCUGCUGCUGCAGGAAAGCAAGCCAGGUUUCCAUAUCUCCUGCACAACCAAUCCCAAGAAAAAGAGAGCUCUACAUAGACCUACAGUUCUGGUAGCUAAGAGUCGUUCUCCCGGCGGCAGCUUCCUGCUGGAUUUGACUCGCGGGCGAGGUGCUAAGAUCCUUACGGCAGAGCGUCGGCGCUCCGAGCGCAAGGCCGGCGGGACGAGGCUGCCCCGGCCGGCGCCGGGCUGCUCUCCCGCGUCGGCGCUCUUGGCUUCGCCUUUCGGCACCCCCGGAGGUCUGCUUUAAGCAGCUUUGCUUCCCUGCUGCCCUAUGAUAAAACACGACGUUGUGCCCGAAUCUCUGACAUCCGGGGCCUGAUUCCGUUUCCAUGGGGGGUGGAAUCCUGUUGUUUUCCGCAGAUGCGAGUGGCAGAGGGAGGAGGUCGCAUCCCGGCUCCGCCUGGCCCCCGCGGCCGCCGCUGCCCAGCCGAGGGCCACGGGCGCUUUACUCUUGCGCUCCUUCUGCUCGUGUCACCUUUAUCUGGACGGUUUUUCCCUCCAAUCAUAAAAUUUCCACUUUUAAUAUUUUAAACUCUUAUUUCUCAUAAAACCCCCAAGUAUGAAAAUUUCUUCUAAAGAAAUAUACCAUUAAUGUAUCUUUAUGAUGUGCAGCUGAUGCUCACAGCAUGGGCUAUGACUUUUUUAUGUUCCCUACUUGUCCUUGAGACAUUUUAUUUUGACACCGUAUCCUUAUAUGUUAAAUUAAAACAUAUUUUUAUUA